rnacentral:rRNA from 1 species
AUUGAACGCUGGCGGCAUGCCUUACACAUGCAAGUCGAACGGUAACGCGGGGCAACCUGGCGACGAGUGGCGAACGGGUGAGUAAUGCAUCGGAACGUGCCCAGUAGUGGGGGAUAGCCCGGCGAAAGCCGGAUUAAUACCGCAUACGACCUACGGGUGAAAGGGGGGGAUCGCAAGACCUCUCGCUAUUGGAGCGGCCGAUGUCAGAUUAGGUAGUUGGUGGGGUAAAGGCCUACCAAGCCGACGAUCUGUAGCUGGUCUGAGAGGACGACCAGCCACACUGGGACUGAGACACGGCCCAGACUCCUACGGGAGGCAGCAGUGGGGAAUUUUGGACAAUGGGCGCAAGCCUGAUCCAGCCAUGCCGCGUGCGGGAAGAAGGCCUUCGGGUUGUAAACCGCUUUUGUCAGGGAAGAAAUCUUUUGAGCUAAUACCUCGGAAGGAUGACGGUACCUGAAGAAUAAGCACCGGCUAACUACGUGCCAGCCGCCGCGGUAACAC